UACGGGGGGGGCAAGCGUUGUUCGGAAUUACUGGGCGUAAAGGGCUCGUAGGUGGCCAACUAAGUCACACGUGAAAUCCCUCGGCUUAACCGGGGAACUGCGUUUGAUACUGGAUGGCUUGAGUUUGGGAGAGGGAUGCGGAAUUCCAGGUGUAGCGGUGAAAUGCGUAGAUAUCUGGAGGAACACCGGUGGCGAAGGCGGCAUCCUGGACCAAUACUGACGCUGAGGAGCGAAAGCUAGGGGAGCAAACGGG
rnacentral:rRNA from 1 species